rnacentral:lncRNA from 1 species
UUAGGGGUACAAGAUACCCACCUGAGAGAAAAGAAAAAGAAAAUAUAGAGCAUCUCAUUCUCCUCAAAAAGCUUCAAAGUGCAAGAAAGGUAUGUAUUCCCUCAAAAGAGCAAAAGUAGAAUUAGACUUUCACCAUUGUUUUCACCAUUAUCACCAUCAUCACCAUACACCAUUCAUUCGCCACACAUGCACAUCUUGAUUUGACUUAUUGACUUGUUCUUCUUGAUCCAUGGUUUGACUAUGAAAUAAAUGUCUUGUAAGUAUGUAUUAGCUGUCUCCCACCUAUGAGCUCCAGAUAUCAAAACCUUAUUAGAGUAGGGUGAGAGAGAAAGCAAUGUCACUAUGCCUCAUACCAAAAAUAC